rfam:Ipomoea nil DNA, scaffold: scaffold2868, cultivar: Tokyo-kokei standard.
GGGAUAUGAGGAGUGGUCAAUUCUUGCAUCUGGUGCGAGGUGAGUGCCCGCCUCGCCUGUUACGACAAUGAGGCACUCUCAUUUUUACCAUCUGAUCCU